CCAUAAAAUUUUGCCCCUAAAUAAUGCCUUUGUAUAUAUAGUAGCAUAUUAAUAUGUUAACAUGCAUGCUAUAAAAGCUUUUACAAAUAAUAAAAAAUAAUUUGUGCACAAGAGGGGGCAAAAAAUAUAAGGGUUAAUUUUCAUAUAGGUCCUUAUAAAUAUUAUGAACGAUAAAUAUAUUUCGACAGAGUUUAACUUUUAUUUGUUGUCGCUACAAAAGUCCUAAUGUCUUUAAAUAUACCCAUGCUGUUAGAAUCCGUUAGUAAAUUUUGGUUAAUUAUAAGUUAAAUAUUUAAUUAUCCUGAUUAGUUUUUGAUAUUUUUAUUCUUCUUAUACUAUACUAUUGUGACUUUUAGAGGGAUAUAUUUGUGGUGACAAAAUUGAAAAUAUAAAUGAUUUUCUAACGGUAUAAAUAAGAGAGACGUAUUUGACAAUAUUAAAACUUUUAUCGAAAUAAUAUAUGAAAGUUAAAUUUUGUAGAAAUAUAUUUGUCAUUUACUAUAUUCACAGAGAUCUGUAUGAAAUUAACCCAAAAUAAAAAUUAAGAAAUUUGUACUAAAAUGUUGAUUGGAUACUUAUAUUAUCUUUAAAUUAUUUUUUGAACAAAACAAACAAAUUUAUAGAAAAAAUAUAUUACUCAAUCAAAUCAUAAAUAACAAAACUUUUGAAUGAAUAAAAAAUUAAAUUUCUCACAACAAUAUUAGAAAAAAAAAGUUAUACAAGAUAAAUUAGGUUUAAAUUAAUUUAUUAUAAUAUUCAAAUAAGAUCUAAAAAUGUAUCAAAAAUUUACUUGUGGUUGUGAUUCGUCUGCAAUAAAAUAAUAAUAAAUAAAUAAAAAUUUUAAAAAAUAAAAAUUAAUUUAUUCAGAAUCAGCCCCAACCUACCAAGAAGGCGGCGAGAUACAGGAGGUGGUGAACCCCUUGCUUUCCCAGGUCGUAAGGCGGUGCAAGGAACUUUGACAGUUUGACGUGAUUAAAAGAGGGCCACCGAUCGACCGACGCGUGUCCCACGGGGCUCCCAUACUACGAUUCUACGAACUCCCCCGAGGCGCCACGUGUCCAAAUCCAAGAACGCCUCUUUUUUUUUUUUCGCCUGCGUUCUCCACUUCUCCUCCCCCGACCCUCCCUGCGAAGGAAAAAUUUUAGAAUACAACAGAUACAUUAAUUACGUGGCAUAAUAAAUUAAUUAAAUAUUUUUUUUUAGGUAUAUAUUUCAUUAUAAUUGUAAAAAAAUAUUUUUAUUAUAUUUUUAUUUAAAAAAAAAUAUGUUAUUAAUCUGUUAUUAAUGAUGUGAUGUAAGUAUGACAGUAUAAAAUUUCUCCUGCGAAACCCUUUUCUUCGUUUCUCUCGUCUCUAUUUCGACACGUCCUUUUUUACGUCUGCGGCAGAGCAGAGCAGAGCAGAACCCCCUUCGAUCUGUUGUGACAUGCCGUGCAUUAUUAUUAUUAUAAAUUGUUAUUAUUAUUGUGUUGUAUUGAAGCUCCAACUACUACACGUCCUGGCCUGUCACGGUGCCUUGUUUCCCCUGCUUCGAUUCCAAGUUAGUGUGGUCUUAUAACGUAAACGAGAUGGAGACGGGACGGGACAAGACCCACAUUCGCCCUUUCUUGCAUUGUUUUCCUCUUCUUUUUUUUUUUGAACAGCUCCAACACUCUCGUAUUUGAUUGAUUGAUAUUGACCGAUAACAAAUUUUUAUAUAUCAAACAUAUUAAAAAUUAAGGUUGAUUACACCGGUAAUAACCAAUCUUUCCACUAAUUUUUUCUUGGUUCCCAACUUUUUUUUUUUUUGCAAUUGAGUCCUUAAUCUCUUGAUUUUAUUACAAUUAAGUCUCAACUGUUAAAAAUUAAAUAUAAAAUCAAAUUUUGAAUUCGAAUUUAAAUAUAAAUUUUAAAUCUUAAAUUAAAAAUCUUAUUUUGAAUUUAUAAAUUUAAUAGAUUAAUUACACUACUGGUCCCCAACCUUGCACGAUUUUUUAAUUUGUUCUCCAAUCUUUUUUUUUUUUUACAAUCCACUGACACAACGCCAUCGUGGCGCUAACAUGGCACCUCCGUAGCGCUGAUAUGAUACUGACGUGGCAUUUUCCGUCAAUUUUAACACCUAUCUAACGGAUAGGACUUAAUUGAAAUAAAAUCAAUAGAUUAGAGACUCAAUUGCAAAAAAAAAAAAGGUUGAGGACCCAAGUGAAACUUUGUGGAAAGGUUGGGGACUACUGGUGUAAUUAACAACCCUGAAAAUUAAGAAUAGCUAAGACUAUAAUCUUUAUUUUAAUUAGAGAAAUGCUAAGUCUAUAACUUAAAGAGGUUGCAUUAAUUAACCUUUACAACUCCUGGCUAAUCUAAUAAUAACUUUUAUAAGGUUUAACCAAUUCGAUCGAGCUAGCAUGUAUUGUGCUUUUAAUUGAUUAUCGGUGUAAAUAAAUUCCAAAUAUAGAAAGCCAAACUCCUUUUUUCUUGGUGUUUAAUUAAUUGCUUGUAGCUUUUGCAUACCAUCUAACUACCCUGCAGCUGUAUUUGUUUAACGACUCCGAUCGAGUAUGUGUGGGUUGUGGAGUGUUGAAGCACGCACGCGAAUCAGAGAAAAGAAAGAAAGAGUGACUUGUGGGGCUAGUUAAAGGGGAAGCGUGCCUUGCAAUGUUGCUGUGCUUGACUAGUAUGUUUUGUGUCUACACUGCGUUGUUUAACGACUCCGAUCGAGUAUGUGUGGGUUGUGGAGUGUUGAAGCACGCACGCGAAUCAGAGAAAAGAAAGAAAGAGUGACUUGUGGGGCUAGUUAAAGGGGAAGCGUGCCUUGCAAUGUUGCUGUGCUUGACUAGUAUGUUUGUGUCUACACUGCGUUGUCAACCUCUAAGAGCUUUUCACCUAACCAAAAUAGAUAGAAACCAAUUAUAUGUUUUGAAUCGAAAGGUGCAUUCGCAUCACUAUAGGAGACGUUAAUGCAUGACAUGACAAAGUGCAAAUCGUUAAGUGGUAGGUUCAUGAAAACUCUAGCUCGGGUUGACUUUGUUUGUCGCUGCCACAGUAGUAUAUAUUAUAUUAUUAUUAUUAUUACGUACAAUAUAUAUUAUUAUUAUUAUUACGUACAACAAGUUGCAAGAUCUAGUCCCCACUUUAGAUAUUCGACACGUUUCCAGUGUACUUUCUAGUGAUGCACACUAAUAAUGCUAGCAUUGGACGUACAUUUGAGUUACCAUAUACUCAAGAGACAUAGUUUCAUUUGAAAAUAUGUACAUACAGUUGGUGCCUCUCCAUCCAAAUUUAUAUUAGUGCGUGCCCUAACAACCACAUGCAUGCAAUAGUUUUAUGUUUGAUUUUUAACCUUGUGAAGAAGCAAACAUAAAAGUAGCUAGGAAGCACACGCAACUGGCCUGGCCCAUUAUAUAUAUACCUUUUAAAUAAAGUAAUAAUAUUGAUUAUUUUAUGUGUAUCGUUUGAGAUUCUAUGCUAAAAAUAACAAGGGAAUCGCAAGAGAAACAAGGCAUGAGAUUCUCAAAGCCUAUAAUCUCUCAUUCAUUUCUUUAUUGUUACUUUUUCACCAAAUUCAAUACUUUUAUUGCUAAUAGAAAAUAUUAAUUAAUUUUCCGGGGAACCGCACCAGAUGUUGCGAUUAUUGUUAGAUUAAGCGUAGAUUGCGACUCGAUUAACAAGCUCAUCUUUGUAAUUGACGCAGCUAACACAACCGUGCAUGCACAUGUAUUAAAAAAGUCAUCUUUAUUCACGUUUGAUUAUACUUAUCAAACCUGAUCAAAUUUAGUUAGUAAAAUAAUAAAUAAACUCAAUAGCUAUACAUAAUAAUAGUAAAAUUAGCUUCAUUAAUAAUUUUAUUGGAGAGAAAAAUUAUUGCUCUUAGAUAAAUAUUCCAAAUUCAGACCGGCUCAACUCGAAACAAACCGGUGUUUAAAAAUCCGACUCCGGUCUAACAUAAAAGGGGGUUUUUGCCUCUGCCGGACACGUGGCAGCAUCAAAGCCAACGACUGGUUGUUGGGGGUUGAGUGGGGGCCCACUACGGGGCUUGGUUUUGGGCGCCCAUAACCCAUUGGAUCGCGCUGGGGCCCACAACUUGUUUUGGUCUGGUCAACCUCAACCGAUUUAACUGCCGAAUCGAUGGUUCGCACUUAUCCGAGUCACACUGUGGGCCCCACUGCACCACUUAGAUUCGCGUGGGUCCCUUCCUACUGGGGAUAUAGAUAGGUUGCACGGUAGAGAGAUUCCCUACAACUUAGAUUGGAAUAAAAUAUUGCAACUGAGUUUGGAACACAUAUCAAAAUAUUUUUUUAUCAUAAUAAUAGAGUUUGUAUCCUGAAAAAUAAUUUUCAUUGGCACUGUAAUUUACUUUAUCUUCCCCGGAACUAAAAUUUUUGAAUCAUUUUUUGUUAUAUCAUAUUAGUGAUUAACACCAUGCGCAUUACAAACGUCAAUCCUAAAUUUGGGUUAUUUCGCAUUGUCACUAUUGACUUAAAUGGACCAGUAUCCUGCCCUACGGAGAGUAGCUAUGUGGGUUGAAUCAUAUUCGAAAUGAUAAGGCUGGGUUGGGCCAAGUCAUGUUCGAAGUAGCGUGAGCCUGAUUAUGCAGAGUCACAAUCGAGACUCGUAAACAUUGUAUCUGUACGUUUUAAGUGAAUUAGUUGCGUAUUUCUAACAGCUCGAGUUUUUGAGAUUAAUGGUUAGCGUCAACGAUCUGACAGUCACCACAUAGUAGCUGAUCGAAAGAAACUUUUCUAUGCCUGACAAAAAAUAAUUUGAAUAUAUAUAAAAGAGCAAGAAGGCUCUUUUUAUUAUUUUUUGGGAUGUAUUAUAAUGGUAAAAAACUCCCAUAAAUUUGAGCCCCUAGUUCAAUUACUAAAUACAUUGAAAACUGUAUUAAUUACAUUUUCGUAUUUUAUCAUUAUUUUAACUAAAUUUGAAAUUUUAAAAUAAGUAUUAAAUUUAGCUGAAAAAUUUUAUAAACAUAAAUUGGUAGAUAAAAUUAGUUAUAAUUAAUACAGAAAAAUUACAUAAAUUUAAUAGAAUUAUUAAAUUAAUUAUUAAUUUGAACAGUAUUAGCAAAUAUCUCUUUUCUCUAAUUCUUUUAUCUAUUUUUUGAGGUUACAAAGUAAAUAGAUAUCGAGAUAUAGAUCGGUAUUAUAUGCCAAUCUUUUUUUUUUUUUUUGAGAAAAGAUAACAAAGCUACCUGCUUCAUUCAUUAAGCAAAAUGAACUGGACGUACAUGUUGGAAGCAACUAAGGCCUCCUGAAGUAACCAGAAGAAAAACAAAAAGAAGAUAUGGCAAUCUAUUUUAGUAAAAAUUUUGCAACAUCAUCAUAAACUUUGGUAUAUAUUUAAAGCAAUAAUAAAACUUAAGAAGGUAAUUUAUGUAAUUUUAAAUAUAAGUUGGUUAACAAAGAUGGUUAAUUAGGCCAUUAGACCAAUUGAGGUUCGACGCAGUCAUAUUUGUUUGUAUAUAUAUUUUGAGUCAAAAUCAGUGUCGGGUUAAGGCGUACUUUAAUUCGGGCCCCACCGGGAUAGAGUGUCCGGUUCCUGCAGUCACGUCGCCACGUCGGAUGGGCCCCACGUUCUUGUUCCCGCCUCACGUGUCGCGUUAUACGGAUGACUCAUCACGGGGCCCUCCACCGUUGCUUGCAACGUUUAUCAAUUAUCAAUUAUAAUAAUUUUAUAUUAAAUAAAAAAACUCACAAAAAAAUGAGAUGAUUUUAUUAUUUACCCUUUUUCGCAACAUUUUAUUUUUCCCAUUUUCUUUCUUAUGUUUUAAUUUUUUUUGGCGUUUAAUAUUAUAAUUUUAAAUGUCAUGAACACGGCCUAGGAUUUAAUGAACAUCAACUACUUUCCUAGUAGUUAAAUGCAUGCUAACAUAUGACAAUCUCGAAAAUAUUCUUGUAUUAUGGCCCCUCCGCACAAAAAAAAGAAAAAAGAAGCCCUUUUUAUCUUCACGAAUCUCCACACUGUAGAUCAAUUGCCAGUUGCCAAGUUGAGGACACGGAUAAUUAGUGAGGAAUCGCAUUAAUUAGUGUGAAUAUUAAUUUGGUUAUAAAGCCUACGAAUACCUCUUAAUUACUAGUCUUUAGAAUGCAUUAUGUUUGAAAUAAUCAAGGAUUCUCAAACUAGUAACCUAAAGGUAGAUUCAGCUGAGUUUCUAUAACCAAAGAAACAGAGCACUAUAUACAUGGACCAAAAAUUUUUCAUAAAGUCCAAGAAUUAACUUGGAAUUUUACACCAAGCUUUUAAAUUUUCAGCAAUGGAGGAGGUAAAGUAACAACCUAAGUAAAAUAGGAAGAUACCUACAUAUUACUACAAAGUUGUCAGAUGCUGUAUGUUAAGCAUAGGAGGAGGUAAAAUGAUGCAGCAUUGGGGAAUAUAAAAAGUUAGGAUAAAGACAUCUAAAGUGAACUACUAAUUAACAUGCUAGAAAAUCAAAGUAGCAUCCUUGGUACACUUUUUUUGUUUUUGUUUUUUUUGUAGUUGAGCAAAUGAUAGGGUACUGAAACAUUUGUGAGGCUUCUCUCCAUCUUUGGUUGGGGCCCUAUCACCAUCAAAUGCGUGCACCAAGCAAAUGGGCUUUUGUCCAAUCAACUAUUCCAAUGGGCCUAUCUUGGGUCCCACCUAAUCCCAACAACUCCCUUUUUAAGUGCUAAAUGUAUAUAAAUAUAUUCCAAUAACACCACCCCCUAUAAGCUAAUGUAUAACUUCUCUCUCAACACCUAUUUCUUAUUAAUCCAAAAAACUUUUCUUAGUAUUCAUAAUUUGUAUACAUAGGUUUUUUUUAUGUAUUGUCAAUUAUAUUUACUGUAUCAGAUUGCGACUUUAAAAUAUUGAUCGUGAAAUAUUAGAUACAGUAGAUGAGAUGUACGGAUACACCAGGUGCGAGCACUAGUUUCUCCACGUACAUUCUCUCAUUAGUGGCACUUAGAAUAAGAAAAGUGGUCCGCCAAAUUCUUAGGCUCAACACAAUCUAGAUUGUAGGGUUAUCUUGUAGCUAAUAUAUCCCCCCAUUCCCCUAUAUAUAUAUCAAAUCAGAUAUUCAGAGCUCUUUAGCUUUUGUUAUCUUGCGAUCAGCACGCGGAGAUUUAAUUGUAGGUUACAAUGUUUCUUCUCCUUUCAAGUCCCACAAUCUAUUAUUUUUGUUAUCGCCGCCGACUCCUCUUUUUAGUACUGUGCUUGAUAAGAUUUGCUGAGCUCUGAGGAUGCCUUAGAAGUCCUUUUGCUCGCGUCACAUGUCCAUCUUAUCAAAACAUCACAAUGAAAAUGUACAGAUGCAAUGUAUAGAUGCAAGCACGUCUGAUUCGGAUCAGAUUCAUUGGGCAUUUGAAUUAAUUCGAUGAGUCGUGUGGUACCAUUAAUUAUUCUAAGCUAACUCAACCUGAAUCGAUCUCGUGUUAAGCUUUUCAUCAUGAGCUCACAUUUUGAAUAUAUAUAUUUCAUUACGUUAAUGAACCAUAUCCGAUCUAAAUGACGGAUCGAUCAAAUCCUAACCCACCGGACAACAACGAGUUCGAUUUUAGUGAUCCAAAACUAGCAUAGUAAUGAUAUAUAUAAUCCAACAACGUGAAUCGCAUGGAGAUUUGAUUUGAUCCAUAAAGGCACCUCAUAUCGGUGUAGAGAUCAUAGAGCUAAUCAUGCCAAUGUAGGAAGAUUAUUAGAUGCCUAAGAGGUAGGCCUAGCUAAUAUUAUGUGAGCGUAAUGUGGCAAUUAGCAAUAUACAUGCAUGUAUACAGUAACUACUAGUAGGAGAAAGAGCAUAUAAUCUCCCCUUUUUGAUGCGUUAGUGUGCAGUAUAUAUACGUCCUUAAGGUUUUGUUUCUGUACGCGAAAGCUUAUCAAUUAUAAGGGCAGAGUUGGUAUAUAAGGUUUUACCAUAGUCGGAGCUCUACGUACGUGUAUUUAGUAUAUUUUGCAAGAAGCAUUUUAUAUAAGACUAGUUCUUGGUUGCAGCAAUAUCUUCUUCUCGGGGGAAGGUUAAAGUAUACUUAACAAUUUUGCAUCUAUAGUAAAAAAAAAUAAUAAUAAAAAAAUAACCUUGUUAAUUACUGGAACUUUCUACAGAAUAAAGGCCAAUGGAGGAAUUUUCUACAACUUGCAUGAGAUGAUCAUUGCCCCCGUAGGAAGUAUCGGAUCUUGGCCCAUGCAUGAUUUGUGGUCAUAACUGCAUUAUGGGAGAGCGAGGGGCCGGUUUUACUUUAUUCCAUAUUCGCAAGGACGAUCAAUAAUGUAACUAUAUAUUUGCAUAUGUACCCUAAUAAAAAUUUAAUAUUUUAUUUAUAUUUUUAGGAAUAACGCUUACUAACCUUACAAAGAUAUGAAUCUUCAAAUUCCAUGGUUCGCAUACUUUUAACACAUCGUAAAUUGGUUUUUUUUUUUUUUAGAGAUAGGUAGCAAGCUAUCCGCUUCAUUUAUUUCAUUUAGAAAUAAACUUAGCAGAAAUAUGAAUCAACUAGGAUUCAAACUUAGGUCUCGGGUAUCAACCACCAAGCCUUUUGCCACUCGCUCUAGGGACGGUCGGUCCACAUCAUAAAUUGUUAGUGGGUAUAGCAUACUAGCAGAAACUCAAAUUCUUCCAUAUAUAUAUAUAUAUAUAUAUAUAUAUAUAGAGAGAGAGAGAGAGAGAGAGAGAGAGAGAGAGAGAGAGAUAGCACGGAGCACUUGGUGCUACCAAGUUUUCCUCCGUUAGAUCUACCCUUUUGAUCAUUUUCACCCGUUAGAUCAUGCUAUUCAACCAACAUGCACCCACUUAACUCUAGAGGGUCUACAUCAUACUAACCAUACAUCUCUUAAUUCAAUGGCCAAAAACUUGGUAGCACCAAUAACUUGGUGCUAUUAAUAUAUAUAUAUAUAUAUAUAUGUAUAUAUAUAUAUAUAUGUGUGUGUGUGUGUGUGAGUGCAGAGCUACUGUGUUAUUAGAAGCACAACAAUCCUUGUGCUCUUAAAUUUCUAACUAUCCAUCAAUUUUGAUGGGUGGUUAGGAUUAGAGAGAGAAAAAAAAAUUGAGGAGAAAUUGAAUAUCUUAAUUUCUCUUUUUUUUAAAUUUCGAUUAAAUUUCUCUUCUCUUCUCUCUCUAAUCCUAAUCACCCAUCAAAAUUGAUAAAUGGUUAGAAAGUUAGGAUUAUAAAAACUGAUGUGCUCCUAAUAGUAUAGUAGCCCUGCUCUCUCUCUCUCUCUCUAUAUAUAUAUAUAUAAUCUGUUUAUAGUUUAGAGGGUGCUCCACUCAUUUUUUUUUUUGUGUUAAAAAAACUGUUUAAAAUAUUAUUUUUGUAACUACAAGAAUAUAUACCAAAGAAAUUUUACUUCCUAAAGAAUAUAUGAAACUGUGUUCUAUAUGAAUAAAUAUAACAAAAACCGCGGGACAAUUGAUGGAUGGUGAGAUUCCUUAUAUAUAAUCAUAUGAAAUGGAUUCUUCCCUGAGCUUCUUCGCUUUUUAUGUUUUUAUUUUUUUUACAUAAAAACUUGUGACAAUUCUUUGAUAAAUAAAGUGUAAUUAUAUCUACCUCAACUUUAGGUCCAAAAAAAAAAAUGCAGCUUAUUUAUCAGUACGAUUUGCUUUAGUAGUAGGUUAACCAAAUGCGACAUCAAGCGUGAGGAGAUUUUGUUUUAUUUAUAUAUAUUGUUUGUAUUAAUGAGAUUGCGCAUUUGGAGCAGGGAAAGCAUCUAUAUAUUACAAAGCUGCUCCUAGGCCAAGCAAAGUUCUCUCUUUCACAGUCUAGUCCUUUGAAAUUUCUCAUUUUACAGGGCUUCUUUAAUAAGAACUAGAGAACGCUAACUAAUUUUCCUGGUUAAUUAUAAAAUUAAUUUCUCAAAUACGGGCAUAAUUUAAAUGUCAUAUUUAAACUUUUAACAAAAUAAUUUAGUUUCUGAAAUUUGUCUUGAAUAAUAGCUAAGUUCUUCAUGUUAAUGUAUCUAUUUUGGCAAUAUUUUAAAAAGGGAUAAUUGUCUAUAUACCAUUCAAAAUUUCAAAAAUAUCUCAUUUAUUUUUAGUUUUUUUUUUCUUUUCAAUAUACCCCUUAUUUGUUUUUUCGUUAUUCCAAAGUAGCUCUACAGUUACUUCCUGUUAAGUUAACUUAGAUUAAACAUGAGUUAAAUAUCUACUAAAUUUUAAAAAAAAUAAAAUACCUCUUUUAUCGAGAAAUUUUGGUGAUAGUAGAAGGAUAUAUUUGAAAAGAUCAAAAAUCAAAAUAUUUCUUGUGUCCCUAACUUAAGGGCAAAUAAGAAAAGUCAGUGAUAGUAGAAAGGUAUAUUUGAAAGGGCAAAAUAAUAAUUUUAUACAGAUAACAACUAUUGCUAAUCGUUUAUUAAUAGAAUUUAACUUUAGGGGUAUAUUUGAAAUAUGUUGGAACGUAAAAAAAGUAUUUUCAAUAUUAACCUCCUAAAAUAGAUAAAUCGGAAACUCGAAAUUUUUCAAUGAUAUAUAUAAGCAAUUGCACCUAUUAAAAAUUGCUAUGAAUAUAUCAGUUUCCAUGUAAAAAGGCGUCACUUCGAAGGUUGAAACUCUAGUGAAAAUUUUAAUUCUGGUGAAACCUAAGGAACAAAAUGAAAAUUCUGAUCAAAUUACAAAACUAAAUUUUUACUCGCUCUAAUUUAUUUCGUGUCCUUAAACUUAUUCUUCGAUAAACUAUCCAUGCGUGUGUGACAUUUUAGUUUUCUCAUAUAUACAGAAACGAAAGCACAGAUUUAAUUGGGAAUCAAACUCUUUCCAGAGAAACUCAUCUUAACUAAUACAUGCAUGGAAAUGACUGAGAGACACAUUAUUGUCUAUUUGAGAGGACUAGAAAUGAGUGAGAUAUAUAUAAGUGAUCCAAGAGAACUUGAUGUAAGUGACAAAAAAAUGCAAACACACUUGUGCUAUUAUCAAGAACCUAAUUAGGAAACCUCAGAUAUUCCAUUUGCACAGAUUGCAUGUUAUUGCAUGUAAAAUAUAUUUUGUUACAUCACUAACUUUUCAUUAAGAUCAAGAUUUAAGUAUGAUUAUUGUUUAUGCGAAUUAAUUACCACAACCACCGGGCCCACCGUAAGUAAAACGAUCUGGAUCAAACUCUGCGAGGUUAUAACAAUGGGGAUUGUCCACAUAAUAGGCCGGAGGUUUUUUAUUAACAAAGAAACCACCAUCUUUAUUGAUAUAUGCGGUAUUUUUAAAGUACGCUGCUUUACUAUCUGUUGGAAAAUAACCGCUACCCAUUGGAGGGCUUACGCUGCUCUUUUGAAAGGAUACAUGUCCGCCAAAAUCAACUCGAGUUGCUUCAUCAGCUAAAGAAGUAAAGAGAGACUUUGGCCAAUAUCCUACGGGAAUGGCAUUGUCACCGUGUACAUGCUGGAGCCACCAAUCUCCAGUUGAUUGACCCUGCAAUGAGAUAAUUAAGCAUUACAUAUGUUGCUUAAUUUGAAACAUACUUAGCAUCAAUAUGAAUCAACUUUAAAUUCUAUUAUAUAUAUGCUUUUUGGUGCAUAUUUUCUAGUGAAAAUUUCUUAAAUAAAAUGAAAAUAAUAAAGGUACAUACUUGGCUAAUAAAUAGCCUUUUUUCACCUUAAAAAUUCUUAUAGAUAUCUCAUACUGCGGUCCACCGGGAGUGGAAACUGGUUGUAAAACUGUUCCAGGAACAAGAUCGGAACUGUUUGUUAAUACGAAACCUUGGCAUUUAAGAUUGAAGCAUCCUGUUGAAAUGUAGCCAUCCGCCUGUAUUUUUCAAACAAUGGUAUAUAUUAUGCAACAACUUUUACUUCACUUACGAGAAGAGAGAGACAAGAGAUGUUAUAAUAAAUAUAUACCGUCCAAGCUAUGAAAAAGUGAGUCGCGGUAUCCCCAUAUUCUUCAGGAAACACCUGCAUAGAAAAGAAAUAGAUAAAUGUUUACGUCUAUGAUCAAAGAGAUUGUACAAUCUCUACAACCUUUUAUCCAAGAAUUAUAAGAUUUGUCAAUCCCCUUUAAAUUUUUAGUAGUAAUAAAAAAAAGUGAUAAAAUAAGUAGAAAGAAUGUGGCAUUUUGAUGGGGAGAAAUUGUAGGAUUAUAACCCAUAUAUAUAUAGUGGGUUAUAGACCAAGCGCGCACUCAAAGAAAUAGACCUUUAACAACCGUAGUAAGGCUAAGACGAUAAAAUAUUUUUUACGUAAAUUCAAUGGUAACUUCACCUGCAUAAUUCCUAAGAUAUGUUAAUCAUUAACUUGUGAUCUUUUAACACUACCAAAUAACUUUAGCACUAAAAUCCUGAUUUAUUUGAUGCAACUAAAUGUAUCUUGAAUUUGACAUAGAAACCCAGAUUUUAAGCCCAAUAUUGCAUCCACAACUAAGCCUAAAAAAAAUUUGCAAAAGGUCUCAGGCCCACUAUAAAAGCUCAUUGGACAACCCCAUCUAAAGCCCAUUGGAGUACCAAAAAUAAAUAGAAAAAAGGAAAUUAAAGCGCACAAAUAAUAAAGCAUUUGAUCAUCUCUAAACCAAAAACGUCUCAAGCUAUUCAUAGCAAUUAGGAAUUAAACCACCAGAGUUGCCGAAGAACUAAAGCUGCAACCUUAGAAUAGCACAAAAUAAUAAUUUUGUAAAGAAUACGAUGUACUUCAACUAUGAAAAGUAAGUUGUUUUUUCUUAUCAUAAAAAUCAAAUGUAGAUCAUCGACGACGCAAAAAAAAAAAAAAGUUUUAUCAGCGUGCUUAAAACAAGAAGUAAGAAAUCAAAUAUGACAGCAUCUAACUUACAUGCCAUCCAGCUUGGAUCACAUUAAGUUGAUUACGAGGGCCGUCUGCACCGUUUGCGAUCCAAAUCCCGGUUGCGGUACUCUUGCCGGCUUCCAGAUUAGGAAAGCCAUAAACAACUAGUGUUGAUUUGGCACCAUAAUACGCCUUGGAUGUCCCUGUCCCGCUUUGAUAUUCUGCCCACUAUAAUAAAAAAAAAUAGAAGAGUUUUAUGUUCUGUCAAUGAAAAUAUCUCAAAAAACUAUAGAGAAAAAUUUUAACUAAUUUUAUUGUGGUUUAACGCAUUUUUACUGUGCCGCCAUGUGGUUUGAAAAUUUUCAAAUUGCACGCAACCUUAUGUUUUUUUUUUUAGUUUAUUUUAAGAACUUACAUUUAAAUUGGAUAAGAAAUUUAAUAUAAUUUACAAUCUACGAGAUUAAUGCAAGUGUUAUUUGAUUGACAUAGUUCAUUAUUGCAUAGAUAAAAAUCAUCGCAUACGUGCAUUUCGGUUUUCUUUAAUAAUUUCAAACACGAACCGGUCGUACUUAACAUAGCUGGUUAAAUAAGGGUUGAUAGUUUGUAACUAUGAUCCCAAGUUUGAAACGUUAUUUUUUUUUUAGAGAGAAAGGUAGCGCGCUACCCGCAUCAUUCAGUAAAAAAGUGAAGUAAGCUAUAUGGGUGGGGUAGCAAGGGCCUCGACAAGUGGCGCGGAAAAAAAAAAAAAGGGUGAGGAAGUGAAUUAAGCUACAUGAGUGACUAAACGUUAACAAUUCGGUCACUCCUCUGGACUAAGUUUUUUCUACAAGUCCGUCAGCUACUUAAUCUUGUAGAUACCGACUGUUGGGUCAGUCUGGGUCAUCCUGAAGAUCGCUCUAUUCCUGAAGUCCCAAAUGACCCACCAGCAGGCUAUAAGUCCUAUAAGACCGGUUGAGGUCGGCUGUGUUUGCUUUCUUCCUGCCCAUCUAUCCCAGACCAAAUGCACAUCAUCUCCCAGAUCUCCCAGUUGGGUAUUCUCUUGGGUCAUCGCCAUAAGAAAUCUAGUAAUUACACACUGAAUGAAUAGGUGGUCAACUGUUUCCCCUUCCAGUCCACACAGCAUGCAUUUCGUGUUGCCACUCCAUCCCCUUUUUACCAAAUUGUCAGCUGUAAACGGUCUCUUCUUUUGAACAAGCCAACUGAACACUUUCACUUUUAGAGGUAAACGCAAAGACCAGAUCCUGCCCAUACGAGCAUCCCUUGUGCCUCCGUCACAUAGUGUUGAAUAAGUUGACUUCACGAUAAAGCGUCUGUCGGUGCUCCAACGCCAAUGUGUGCUAUCCUGUCCCUGGAUAGUUGGAACAUUGGAGAUCCUGUCCUUAAGAGCAGUAGUGCUUGAGUUCGUGUUGUGAUUAACAUAAAUGUCGCCACUCAAAAUCGUAUCACAGCACCAACCAUUGCUACUCAAACAAUCACUGAUUUUCAAGUUUUUACGAGGUGAUAGGUGGAAUAUCUCGGGGAACUACAAACGUAGCGUUGUUUCCCUACUCCAAUGGUCAUCCCAAAAGUCGAUAUUACGCUUGUUACCCAGCUUAUAAAAUGCUUCCCAUUUAUAGAUUUCUUUUAGGCUUAGUACUCCCUUCCACCAAGAGAAAGGUGGUCUGAAAAAUCGUCCCUCGAUCAGCGGUCUUCUUCUACGAUAGAACAAGUCGUGAGUUAGUUUAGUCCAUUGCAACUGGCCUGGGUGCGGUCUGCAAUUUCCACCACCACUUAACGAGCAGGCUGGGUUCAUCGUACUAAUGUCGAGAAUGUCCAGUUCACUGUCCUUGUUCCAGCAAACACUCUGCUAUGAAACUAGACAUCUUUUGCCUAGGGAAGUCAGUCCUCUGGUCCAGAAGAAAUCUCUCUGUACUGCCUCUAUACGCUUGAUUACCCAUUUAGGGGUCGUGAAGACCGAGAGAUAGUAGAGGGGUAGAUUAGAGAGUACUGCAUUUACAAGGAUAAGUCUGCCCCCUCUCGAUAGUAGCUUUCCUUGCCACCCGUCGAUUUUAGUUUGGAUUUACGGAAGAUCCCCCUCGAGUCCUCCUUAGAAGGGGGUCUGAUUGACAGAGGCAAACCCAGAUACUUGGUGGGUAAACUACCGACUUUACAUUUGAGUAAAUGCGCAAUCCAAUUGGCUUUUCUCCCUAUCUGACUGGUGUAAAAAAUUUUCAACUUCUCUCUAUUAAUUCUCAAUCCAGAUGCUCAUUCGAAGAGUUGCCAUAUAAAUUUUAGGUUUCUCAAGCAUCUUUUCUUGGCCUUACAAAAGAAGAAGGUAUCGUCUACAAAUUGUAUAAGGGUAGUCCUGGAUGCCUCUAUGGGACCGAUGCCAGUAAUGAGAUUAUUACCGAGUGCCUCAUUAGUUCCACAACAAGUAGCGGAUCCUCCUGUCAAACACCCAUUUUUGUCUUAAUCCAAUUAGUGGCAUCAUCAUUAAUCAGGACUGCAACCUUGGUGUUGCAAACGUAGAGUUUGAUCCAGUUGCUCCAUUUUUCGUCGAUGCCCCACUAAUCUAAACUGUCAAAAAGGAAAGGCCAAUAAAUUCUAUCGUAUGUCUUUUCGAAGUCCACCUUUACGUCGACUCCCUCAGCACCCGACCUACUUCCCCAGCCUAAAAGCUCACGGACAAUUACAAAUGCAUCAGUGAUGUUUUUCCCCUUCAGGAAAGCCGAUUGGGAAGGGAAUAUUAUGUCACUCAUAACCUGUUCCAACCGAUUAGCUAAAACCUUAGAUAUGAUUUUCUGGAUCCCGUUCAGGAGGCUUAUGGGUCUGAAGUCAUUCGCUCGUUUAGCUCAUUCCUUCUUAGGGAUUCAACAGAUAUAGGUGUAGUCAAUGGGGUCGGUGGACAACCUCCCCUCAAACAUUUCAUGAAAUAGAUUCAAUAAGUCUCCUUGGAGUGUGUCUCAGAAAGUUUGAUAGAAACUUAAUAGGAAACCGUCAAGUCCCAGCACCUUAUCUCUGUCCAAUUGGAAGACUGCUUGUUUAAUUUCAUAUAUACUGAAAGGCCCCGAGAUAUGAGUCAGAGUGUCGGAAAUAAUGUGCCUCGAUCUAAAGAGGCUGCUCUAAUCCCCAAACGAUGUUGUAGCCUAUUCUUCCGGCAUGAAUAGCUCCUGAAACUUCUGGAAUAAGUGGCGCUUUUUAUCCCCUUCAGAAUGGUACACUGUUUCGGCAUCUUCAAGCGUAUCAAUUCUGUUCGUUCUCCUUCUGUCGUUUGCUACCGCAUGAAAGAAUUUAGUAUUGCUAUCUCCUUCUUUUAGCCAGUGUUGCUUCGCUCUGGUCCUCCACACCGCUUCUUCGUCUUUAAGCACCCCUAGUAGUUUAGCCUUAAGCUCCUCCCUUCGCUUAACUAUUUCCAGGAUUAAUUCGCCCUUCUCCUCGUUAUUAUCGAUCUCUUGGAUUUCAUCCAUUAUUAUAUUUUUAGCUGAAUUCAUUUCUUAAAAAUGAACAAAUAUGACACUUUAUUACAUGUCUUAAAAAAAAAAAAAAAAAAAAACACUCUAUGAUUCCAUUUUGUUCUCCAUGGGACAAAUAAAUUGACGAUAAGCACAUAUCAAAUUUGAUCUAAAAUUCUAAUUUUCUAUUUUCUUUCCCUCAUCAUCUGCUCUAAGACAAUUUAGUGUCGAGGGAUAUAAUGCCACAGACUAGAAAAAAAAAUUUGUCUAGAUAUAUAAAUAGUUUGCCAAAAUACUUUCUAAGUAUUGCAUAAUGUAAUUUUUUUUUUACAAUCUCAAACAAAUUAAGCCUUAGAAUUGAUGUAAAAUGUAUAAAGACCUAACAUAUUAGGAAUAUUGUAAAAUCACUCACAUGUUGUAUGCGAUUGGGGUCAUCUUCAGGCGCAUAAAUAUUUAUUGACGAUGAAAUGUGGGCUGGGAGAGACUCAUUCGACUUUGGUGCCAAUUCUGAAGAAAUUACUUUCUCAUCUCCAUUAUUGGAAUUUAAUGCAUGCACUUGCAUCUCUGAACCAUGUACAGUUUUCUGUAUGGCAAAUGAUUGACCAAAUAAUUAAUUUUGUGAAAAAAAGAAUUAAUUCUGAAAAAAAGAGAUAAUGAGAGAAACAAGUACGUCACAAAUAGCUAGGAAUCUUAUAAAAAUAUAAGCAACUAUUACUACUAAGAAAACAAAACUCAGAAUCACGUACACGCCAUAUAGCAAUCACAACUAUCCAUAAAUUAAGUUACCAAAUGCACUAAAUCUUACUUAGAUAUUGGACGGAUUAACUAGUUACUCAUAGUGCUUUCAAAUGGUAAUAAACUAAUAAUUAACUAUGGCCGAAAUAAUAUAAAACAUGCUUAAUUUUAUGUUGUUAGUGUCUUCACACAACAGUAAAUUAUACUGGCCUUAAUUCCUAUGUUAUUUUAGCUUGAGAGAGAACUAUUUCUCACAUAUAAAUUCCUAACAAAAGAUAAUAACAAAAGGGGCGUCAUGAAAAUUACAAUAGAUAAGAGGAGAAAAAAUUAUAAAAGAACUUGGAAUCCAUAGGAGUUCCAACUAUCAAACAUGCAAAACAAAAUAUUGGAAAAAUGUAGAUAAUUUGGUUAGUGAUCUUAAAAUGCGAGAUUCAAUUACCUGUGCCUUUGCUUCGAGUGCAUCAUAACUUUCCAUCACCAAUCUCCCCCUAACUUGAGAGCAAGAGACAAGAGUGAGCCAAAUAAAAGAAAAUGUGAAAAUUUCCAUAUAGGCCAUUGGAUGAAGAUUGAUGUACGUAGAUAAGUGUCCGAACCAGCCCCCUUUAUAUGGAUAGAAAAAUAAAAUUUUCAAUGAUUUUACGGACGACUAAUUAGGUUUUUUUUAAGAGAGAAUAAGGAAGAUUAGUUACUUCAUUUAGAAAGCUUUUAUUUAGAGACCUAUUGUCUUAAUAUGAGGAUAUGUAAUUUUGGAUGGAAUUUAUUUAGAAUUAAUAUCGUGGUCCUAAUAUCACCAUACCUAAAUUUUAGGUUUUUUUUAUAUUAACUGAAUCUAAUCUUCAUUUUAAUGGGUACCAAAGGAUUAUAUGGUAUGAAGGGAUUUGUAUAUCCUAGUAAAGUUUGAGUACAAUGAAUGUGGAUUAAAAGGAUAAAAUAUCAUAAAAUAAUUAAUGUUCAAAUUGUAGUUACUAAGGGGUUGUUGGUUUCCUUCUCCUUGCUCCUGAAAAAGACAUUAGAUAGACCGGAAUAGAGGGAUCAGUCAUCCCAAAAUUAGGAUUCACUAGUGUAGAGACCUGCGCGAUGCAGCUGGUAGAUAAUAAAAACAAAUUUUUAAAUUUUAAAUAAAAUUUAUAUUUACAGCUUAUAGGAAGCUAUACCAUGUUAAGCACAGUCAAUUUGCAUGACUAAAUUCAAUUGUUAAAAAAUAAAAUUAAAGCUAGAAGCAUAUGAAAUACAUAAAUAAUAACUUAACGUUUCUGGCUUAAGAAAAUUUUGGGUAGAGUCUCAGGCUCCAGUCUCCACAUCAUACUUUUUAAUCUACGACAAGAAUUUUGUCCACAACAGUGUUUACUCAAAAAAAUAGUCAUAAGAUGAAAAUAAAACAAAAAACAUCAAUCUUAAAAAAACUAAUACUUUUUUGGAGCACUUCUCUUACUCAUCCAAACCUUAUACAUCUUCUUAAUUUUCAGCUGGUAGUUGCUUCCCGCGCCGAGUCACUUCUGGAUUUCCAUUGUAACCUAUGAACAAACACCUCAUCUACAUCACCAAACUGCGAUAUCUAAACCGACACAGUCUUGCCAUCACAUCAACCACAGAAAUUCUAAUACUUAAACAAUUUGAUUUACCAAAAAGUUCCUGCGAUUCUUGAGAAGCGAGCUCCCGCGCAACGUCCCCGCGAAGAGGAGGCUAGGACGCCGCUCCCCUCGACCCAGUUGUGGGCGCGCGCGAGCCGCGCGAGGAGGCAGCCGAGGUGGCGACGGUUCACGGCGAGCGAGGGCUCCGGCGCAGACCGGCCCACGCAAGCACUUUUAUGGGCCAUGGCUGGACUUUACAGGACGAUACUUCUUGAAGGAGACAGCGUUCUUCGCAUGCUCUUCUUCUUCAUUAUCCUCAUAAUCUUUGUUAACACAAUGAGAUAGAGAGAAGGAGAUGAGUGUGAGGUGAGAGAUUAGAUGAUAAUUUUCUUUUUUGUAUGUAAAAUAACAUGUCAUGCAAAAAAGAGGAGAUGGGGGGAUUAAUGGUGGAGGGGAGUGGAUUGGAGUUACAAAUUAUGCUCACUAAUUGGUUGAAUAUGAUGCAUGUAAUUAAAUGUGGAGAGGUGAAGGGUUGAGCAUUUAGAAGUGGAGAUGAAACGUAAAUUUAAAAAAAUGAGAGCUUGCCAAAUUAUUAUUUCAUAUUGGGGAUUCAUAACAUAUAUCAUGCAAAAGAGGGGGUGGGGGGAUUAAUGGUGGAGGGAAGUUGAUUGAAGUUACAAAUUAAGCUCACUAAUUGAUGGAAUAUGAUGAAUAUAAUUAAAUGUGGAGAGGUUAAGGGUUGAGCAUUUAGAAGUGGAGAUGAAACGUAAAUUAAAAAAAUGAGAGCUUGCCACGUCAUCAUUUCAUAUUGGGGAUUCAUAUAAGAGUAUAGAUUUCUUGUCUCAAAUAUUCACUUGGAGCAUACCAAAUCUUAAUAGAUAGACGUAAUUUUUCUACCGCGUGUACAUUCCCAUAAUGAUGAUCUUUUAACAAUACCAUAUCUCAAUAGAUUGACGUAAUUUUUCUACCGCGUGUACAUUCCCAUAAUGAUAAAGUAUGGAAAUAAAUGUUUUUGAAGAAAAAGUUCUUCAUGGAAAAUCUCUUUUUCAAUUUCCUCCCAUUUGCUUUCAAUAAAAGUAAAUUCUUGAGAAUUUUUUUAAAAAAUUUCAUGAAAAAUUACUAUUUUUUAAAUUUUUUUUAGAAAAACAAGAAUGCUAGUUUUCUAUAAAAUCUGAAAAAAAAAAUUAUAAAGACUAAUUUUUCUUGAAACCAAAUUGCCAAAAAACUUAAAAUUAGUUUUCAUUUCUCAAAAAAAUUUAUCCACGCUUUUUUGAGAAACCAAAUAGCCCCUAAGCAAUUUUAAAACAAUAUACCAUAACGAGAACUAGAGACAGAGAGAUAGUGUUAAUAGCAACCAUAGAUAUGUAACGUCCCAAUAGUUCCACAUUAGAAGAAUACUGAUUUCGAUCAGUUUAUAUGAGGCCUACAUGCUAGUAAUAAUAACUGAGCUAAAACAUUUUGGACUAGUGGUUUGGACCCAACGAGUUAUUGUUGCUAACGGGUCGGGUCGUUAAAAUUAAAAGUUGAAUUUAGUUUUGCUUCAUUUGCACUUCUUUAAAU
rnacentral:lncRNA from 1 species